rnacentral:rRNA from 1 species
GAUUAACGCUGGCGGCGUGCCUAACACAUGCAAGUCGAGCGGCAGCGAGUUUUACACUGAAUUCUGGAAGCUUCUAGUUGAAAGAGAAGAUUUAUUCAAGAAUUUUGUGUAAAAUGUCGGCGAGCGGCGGACGGCUGAGUAACGCGUGGGAACGUACCCCAAAGUGAGGGAUAACGCAUCGAAAGGUGUGCUAAUACCGCAUAUGGUCUUCGGAUUAAAGCCUUCGGGCGCUUUGGGAACGGCCUGCGUAAGAUUAGAUAGUUGGUGGGGUAAUGGCCUACCAAGUCGACGAUCUUUAACUGGUUUGAGAGGAUGAUCAGUCAGACUGGAACUGAGACACGGUCUAGACUCCUACGGGAGGCAGCAGUGAGGAAUCUUCCACAAUGGGCGAAAGCCUGAUGGAGCAACGCCGCGUGCAGGAUGAAGGCCUUCGGGUUGUAAACUGCUUUUAUAAGUGAGGAUUAUGACAGUAACUUAUGAAUAAGGAUCGGCUAACUACGUG